rnacentral:rRNA from 1 species
UCGAGAAUAGUCUACAAUGGACGAAAGUCUGAUAGUGCAAUUCCGCGUGGAUGAAGAAGCAUUUCGGUGUGUAAAAUCCUUUUCUCUAUGAGCAAAGCUUAGAAGGUUAAUAGCUUUUUGAGUAAGAUAUUGGUAGAGGAAGCACCGGCUAACUCCGUGCCAGCAGCCGCGGUAAUACGGGGGGUGCAAGCGUUGUUCGGAAUCAUUGGGCGUAAAGCGCGCGCAGGCGGCUUGGUAAGUCAGAUGUGAAAUCCCUGGGCUUAACCCAGGAAGUGCAUUUGAAACUAUUCAGCUUGAGUAGGGGAGAGGAAAGUGGAAUUCCUGGUGUAGAGGUGAAAUUCGUAGAUAUCAGGAGGAACACCGGUGGCGAAGGCGACUUUCUGGCCCUAUACUGACGCUGAGACGCGAGAGCGUGGGUAGCAAACA